GACAGGGUCGGGCCAGCAGCGGCGGUAAUAGGUAGGGGGCGGGUGGUGUCCGGAAUGAUGGGGGGGAAAGGUCUCGUAGGUGGGUUGUGGUGUGGUCUGUGAAAUGUUGGAGCGUAACGGGAGGCGUGCAGGGGAUACGGGCAGACUUGAGUACUACAGGGGAGACUGGAAGUCCUGGUGUAGCGGUGAAAUGCGCAGAUAUCAGGAGGAACACCGGUGGCGAAGGCGGGUCUCUGGGUAGUAACUGACGCUGAGGAGCGAAAGCGUGGGUAGCGAACAGGAUUAGAUACCCUAGUAGUC
rnacentral:rRNA from 1 species